rnacentral:rRNA from 1 species
UACGAAGGGGGCUAGCGUUGUUCGGAAUUACUGGGCGUAAAGCGCACGUAGGCGGCCAUUCAAGUCAGAGGUGAAAGCCCGGGGCUCAACCCCGGAACUGCCUUUGAAACUAGAUGGCUUGAAUCUUGGAGAGGCGAGUGGAAUUCCGAGUGUAGAGGUGAAAUUCGUAGAUAUUCGGAAGAACACCAGUGGCGAAGGCGACUCGCUGGACAAGUAUUGACGCUGAGGUGCGAAAUCGUGGGGAGCAAACAGG